AGCUUUGUGCAGUGGCAGUAUCAUCGCCAAUGAGGUUUAUCCGAGGCAUGAUUACCACUAAUUGAAAAUAAAGAAACACUUGUACACUGGAGACAAAUACAAUUUGCUCUAAGACGGGAAGCUUUGUAUGCAGCUUCUGUUC